UACGGAGGGAGCUAGCGUUAUUCGGAAUUACUGGGCGUAAAGCGCACGUAGGCGGCUUUGUAAGUAAGAGGUGAAAGCCCAGAGCUCAACUCUGGAAUUGCCUUUUAGACUGCAUCGCUUGAAUCAUGGAGAGGUCAGUGGAAUUCCGAGUGUAGAGGUGAAAUUCGUAGAUAUCGGGAGGAACACCGGUGGCGAAGGCGGCGACCUGGGACAAUACUGACGCUGAGGUGCGAAAGCGUGGGGAGCAAACAGG
rnacentral:rRNA from 1 species